CCCUUAGAGUUUGAUCCUGGCUCAGAUUGAACGCUGGCGGCAGGCCUAACACAUGCAAGUCGAGCGGUAGCACAGAGAGCUUGCUCUCGGGUGACGAGCGGCGGACGGGUGAGUAAUGUCUGGGAAACUGCCUGAUGGAGGGGGAUAACUACUGGAAACGGUAGCUAAUACCGCAUAACGUCGCAAGACCAAAGUGGGGGACCUUCGGGCCUCAUGCCAUCAGAUGUGCCCAGAUGGGAUUAGCUAGUAGGUGGGGUAACGGCUCGCCUAGGCGACGAUCCCUAGCUGGUCUGAGAGGAUGACCAGCCACACUGGAACUGAGACACGGUCAGACUCCUUCGGGAGGCAGCAGUGGGGAAUAUUGCACAAUGGGCGCAAGCCUGAUGCAGCCAUGCCGCGUGUGUGAAGAAGGCCUUCGGGUUGUAAAGCACUUUCAGCGGGGAGAAAGGCGGUGAGGUUAAUAACUCAUCGANUAAAUACCCGCAGAAGAAGCCGGU
rnacentral:rRNA from 1 species